rnacentral:tRNA from 1 species
GAAGAUUUAGCUCAGUGGUAGAGCGCUUGCCUAGCAAGCACAAGGCCCUGGGUUCGGUCCCCAGCUCCA